UACGUAGGUGGCGAGCGUUGUCCGGAUUUACUGGGCGUAAAGGGCGUGCAGGCGGUUUGUUAAGUGCAGGGUGAAAGCUCCCGGCUCAACUGGGAGAGGUCCUUGCAUACUGGCGAACUCGAGGGAGGCAGAGGAAAGUGGAAUUCCCGGUGUAGUGGUGAUAUGCGUAGAUAUCGGGAGGAACACCUGUGGCGAAGGCGGCUUUCUGGGCCUUACCUGACGCUGAGACGCGAAAGCGUGGGGAGCGAACGGG
rnacentral:rRNA from 1 species